GUGUGUGUGUGUGUGUGUGUAUUUAGCAGUCUGUGUGUGUAUUCAGCAGACGGUGUAUUCAGCAGUCUGCUACAUACAGACAGACUGCUAAGUACACAGACAGACUG